UCCGUGUUAACCACGGCAGUCUCCUUAGAGAGCCCAACUGAAUGCUGGCAACUAAGGACAAGGGUUGCGCUCGUUGCGGGACUUAACCCAACAUGUCACCACACGAGCUGACGACAGCCAUGCAGCACCUGUCUAAACGCUGUAUUGCUACAGAAGCCAUAUCUCUAUGGCGGGCAUCUAGAUGUCAAACCCAGGUAAGGUUCUUCGCGUUGCUUCGAAUUAAACCACAUGAUCCACCGCUUGUGCGGGCCCCCGUCAAUUCCUUUGAGUUUUAGUCUUGCGACCGUACUUCCCAGGCGGGGUACUUAUUGCGUUAGCUCCGGCUCAGCGGGGGUCAAGACCCACCAAGCCUAGUACCCAUCGUUUACAGCGUGGACUAC
rnacentral:misc_RNA from 1 species